rnacentral:rRNA from 1 species
GACGAACGCUGGCGGCGUGCUUAACACAUGCCAGUCGAACGGAAAGGCCCCUUUGGGGGUACUCGAGUGGCGAACGGGUGAGUAACACGUGAGUAACCUGCCCUUGACUUCGGGAUAACUUCAGGAAACUGGGGCUAAUACCGGAUAGGAAUCCUUGCUGCAUGGUGGGGGUUGGAAAGCUUCGGCGGUUUUGGAUGGACUCGCGGCUUAUCAGCUUGUUGGUGGGGUAGUGGCUUACCAAGGCUUUGACGGGUAGCCGGCCUGAGAGGGCGACCGGCCACAUUGGGACCUAGAGACGGCCCAGGCACCGACGGGAGGGAGCAGUGGGGAAUAUUGCCCAAUGGGCGGAAGGCUGGUGCAGCAGCGCCGCGUGCGGGAUGACGGUCUUCGGGUUGUAAAACGCUUUCAGCAGGGGCGAAGCUUGUGGUGACGGUACCUGCAGAAGAAGCACCGGCUAACUACGUG